rnacentral:rRNA from 1 species
CUCGAGGCCAGAUCUAGAGUUUGAUCCUGGCUGAGAACGAACGCCGGCGGCGUACUUAACACAUGCAAGUCGGACGAGAAAGGGUGCUUCGGCGCCUGAGUAAAGUGGCGAACGGGUGCGUAACACGUAAGUAAUCUACCCCGGACUCUGGGAUAACUUCUCGAAAGGGGAGCUAAGACCAGAUAGGGUCCCCGAGACACAAGUCGCGGGGGGAAAGCGGGCCUCUGUUUCAAGCUCGUGAUCCGGGAUGAGCUUGCGGCCCAUUAGCUAGUUGGUGGGAUAAUAGCCCACCAAGGCAACGAUGGGUAGCUGGUCUGAGAGGACGAUCAACCACACUGGCACUGAGACACGGGCUAGACUCCUACGGGAGGCAGCAGUGGGGAAUUUUGCGCAAUGGGCGAAAGCCUGACGCAGUAACGCCGCGUGGAGGACGAAGGCCUUCGGGUUGUAAACUCCUGUCAGGAGGAACGAGGGGAGUGAGCCGAAUACGUUCACACUCCAGACGGUACCUCCAAAGGAAGCCCCGGCUAAUUCCGUGCCAGCAGCCGCGGUAAUACGGAAGGGGCAAGCGUUGUUCGGAAUCAUUGGGCGUAAA